UUUUUUUGUUUGUUUUUUUUUUUUUUUUUUGGUUUACAUUUGAUGGGGUGAGUGGAACGGAGAUUGAGAGAGAGAUUGGAGCAAAGAGAGGAAGGAGAAGUAGGAUACAGCCCUGUGGCUAUAUGGAAAGUUAAUGUUCCAAUAAGGGAAAGUAUGUGGGAGGAGAUGUAGUUGGAGAGACAGUGCAAAAGUCUUGAACUGGAUUGUUGCAGGUGCUGAAACUCAAACCGUGAGAUGGAGGUAAGGGGCAAUUGACAAGAGGGCCAGCAGGCUUGGGGAAGAAUCAUGGCUCUUCAGGACGCUGUCCUGACAGCGCUUCAAGGGUCCCAGUCAUGAGGUGGAAGUCUGCUGGAGGGCCCCACCUGGCCUUUGGGAGAAUUUCUCUGUAGAGCCUUCUUUCUGCUCCUCAGGCUGCCCCUCCUGGAGGGUUCCCCACCCACUUCUAGUCCCAGUCCCUGGGCUGCUCCCUUGUCCCCCACAUCCUCACUGGCACCACUUCCAUUCCCACACAAGGUAACUGGUAACUCAACUGAAGAAGAUGACCCUAUCUUCUGCAUCAUAACGUGAAUAUAUACUUGAUAAAAGCCUCAAAUAACUUUUUGGCUGCCAUCUUUAGCUACCUCAAAGGAGAAAACAGAAAAAGGAGUACUGAUGAUGGAAGCAUCUGGUCCCUCUUGCAGAACGAUGAAUGAUUUUAUUGGCGGCAGCUGGGUGGCAGGGCAAUACAGGCAUCCAGUUGUGCCUGAACCCCAACAAGUGAAAUCUUUGUUCAUUUCCUUUUUAUACACCCAUCUGCCGCCUAAAACCUGACACCAUUUAAUGGUGCCCUUGGUCAAAUCUAAAUGCUUUUACUUUCAUAAUCCUCUGAUUCUAUCUUGAAGAGUCAAGAUGAACUCUAACUCAUGGGAUGGACAAAAUGGAAGAUGUAAAUAAGUAAGCUUUUCAGAGCUAAAAAGCCUCUUUUUAUACAAAAUUAAACUUUAAAAGUACAUUGACCUCGAAACAAUAUAAUUGUCUUGGAUAUGCAAGAAAAAUAGCAGUAUAAAUAUUUAGCAUCAUACCCACAAUGAACAUCUGUGGUUACCCAACCUGUUCAUAUGCCUCAUUAAUUAUAGGCCUUACUCUGAAUGUUUCUUGUUCUAUCUUUGUAUUCCCACCAGCCAAGGAGUUCUUUUAUAAAUUAUAACAUUCCCCAUAUGUGCAAUGCUAAUAUAACUUGUGGAGGGAGAGAGAAAGCCUUUCUCUCCUAUUCCUGAAAAAUCACUGACCUAUUCCUUGAGUCUAUGAGUAACAACUCCCUACUCAGUCCCUAAAACUAAACAGUUUGAUCACCUUCAAAGUAGAUUAAAAAAAUGUGUUCAAGUGGUAGCUGACAAGAAUUCACUGUAACCAGAACUGUGUGAUGGAUAAUGCAUAAUAUGAAAUAAACCUUUAUACAAAAAUAGUUCCUUAUAAUGUUACCUAUCAUGAGAGUUUUCAGUAAAAUUGUAAAUUAUGCUGCUGGUAUAUGUUGACCAAUGAAAGACAGUAACGAAACUACAUUACCAAUUACCAAAAGUUUAUACAUACAUAAAAUAAAAGUUUUUAACAUCUUCA